rnacentral:rRNA from 1 species
UCCAGACUCCUACGGGAGGCAGCAGUGGGGAAUAUUGCACAAUGGGCGAAAGCCUGAUGCAGCAACGCCGCGUGAAGGAAGAAGGGUUUCGGUUCGUAAACUUCUAUCAACAGGGACGAAAGAAAUGACGGUACCUGAAUAAGAAGCCCCGGCUAACUACGUGCCAGCAGCCGCGGUAAUACGGAGGAUGCGAGCGUUAUCCGGAUUUAUUGGGUUUAAAGGGUGCGCAGGCGGGCUGUUAAGCCGGCGGUAAAAAUUCAGGGCUCAACCCUGUCGAGCCGUCGGAACUGGCAGCCUUGAGUGGGCGAGAAGUAUGCGGAAUGCGUGGUGUAGCGGUGAAAUGCAUAGAUAUCACGCAGAACGCCGAUUGCGAAGGCAGCAUACCGGCGCCCGACUGACGCUGAGGCACGAAAGCGUGGGGAUCGAACAGGAUUAGAUACCCCCGUA